AAACCGGCUCUUUCAAGAGCCACCAAAUUCACUAAAAGAAGCGAACG
rnacentral:ncRNA from 1 species